CAGUCGCCGCGGUAAUACGAAGGGUGCAAGCGUUACUCGGAAUUACUGGGCGUAAAGCGUGCGUAGGUGGUGGUUUAAGUCCGUUGUGAAAGCCCUGGGCUCAACCUGGGAAUUGCAGUGGAUACUGGGUCACUAGAGUGUGGUAGAGGAUAGUGGAAUUUCCGGUGUAGCAGUGAAAUGCGUAGAGAUCGGAAGGAACAUCUGUGGCGAAGGCGACUAUCUGGGCCAACAUUGACACUGAGGCACGAAAGCGUGGGAAGCAAACAGGAUUAGAUACCCCAGUAGUCCCUGUCUCUUAUAC
rnacentral:rRNA from 1 species